UGUGAAUGUUUUUAAAUAAAAUAUUAGAAGUUUUACUGAUAUAUAUGGAAUCCCUUUAGAUAUUUUUAGGAUUUUUUUUUGGAAGAUUUUUACUCAUUUUUGAAAAUAUUUUCAAGAAUUUUCUUGCCAAAUUUGGGAAAUUUUUUAAACAAAACUUUUAAGGGAAACGUUUAAGGAAUUAUUGGAAUUUUCUUCCUGAAGGUUUUGCAAAUUUUCAGAAAUUUGGGGAUUUUUUUUUUACUAAAUUUUGGGAUUUUUUCCAGACAAGGAAACAGUAUUAUUUGGUGCCUGUAAAUGAGGACAACAGGAGGGUUAAAGGAAUAAAGUGAGUAGGAGCAGUUAGUUUACUGGAGCAGAUCACAUCUAUCUCCAACACCAGGCGGUUUGUGGACGGAUGUUUUCUUCUGACUGCAGCAGUGAGGAGCUCCAGAAGACUUUCACUUAAUUACUAUGAAUGUUAAUGAUGGUUUCUGCUGGAGAUAUUUGACAUGUUUGGAGGGAAACUGUGAGGUUUAGGAGGAAAUACAGAAACAGUAGCCAUGAACACAGUCAGCCUGUUCCACCAUCAAGUUUUCAUCACCUGUUAGUUAAAUCUGGAGUUUCUGGAGCUUCAGGUGUCAGGGGUUUGGAGAGACCAACAUGUACACGAUUAUUUGACAAGAGUGACUCUCGCUAACUGUCCAUGUGUGGUCUAGAUGUCAGAACACACCCAUGAAAAUACCUCUAGAACACCUUCACUCUGCUCUCCUACAGACCUGGUGUCAUCUGAUGGAAAACAUCUCUCUCUUUCUUUGGGUUUGGAUCCAGAGCUGAGCAGUUUGAUUGACUGAAACACAGGAUGCAUCCAGUCAGACUCUAUCUGACCAAUUUGAUUGAUUGAUUGAUUGAUUGACUGUGUAGCUUCAGAAACUCGAGGUGCAGCCAUUCAGACUCUAUUUUCCCAGUCUGACGUCUGUCUGUUCCUAAAGCUAGCUCCACAUUUAUGCAUGGAUCCAGUUGAAGCUUCUUUUUUUUUUUUUUUUGUAUAUUAUUGUAUAUCGCACUUAAGUCCAUAUGUUAUACGUGGUGUUUAUAUGUAAAGAAAAAACAUAUUCUUUGGGGUAGUUUACAGACAUGGUUUAGCUCAGUCCUGAUCAUUAGAAUCCAUAAAUUAAUACAUAAAUAUGAUAUUCGACACUCCCUGCAGAUCAAUACUAAAACCAGUGAAGAUCAGAAGACAGGAGGAUGGGCCAUGUCUGGAGAUGUCUCCUGUCUUUGUGUCUUUCUUCCAGUUAUAUGAAGCUGUGUUCCUGUACGAUUACUGUAUGGACGACGAGUUUACUGAGUUAGUCUUCAGCUUUCUUCACUUCACUGUUUCUUUAUUUCUUUAAAUCAACUGAAAAUUAAUCAGAUUUUCAUUUUUAGCUCUUUUUAAAUUUUGGUUGCACUCAAAGAAAGUAAAACCCUUUAAUUUUGAAAUGACUACAAAAUGAACAAAUAUAUUUUUGCACAAUUUAAAGAGAAAUGUUCCUCUGUCUAAUGAUUUGGUUAAAUUAUCUAAAUAUUUAGAGUUUUUCUAAAAUACCAAAAAUUAACACCUGAAUUCAUUAUUUAAAACUAGAUAUGCAUUCCUGAAUUAUAAUAUUACCACCAAAUAAUAACGCCAGAAGGAAUGUAAUUUUUAUUUUGAAAUUAUUGAUCAUAACUACAAAAGGCCAAAUAUAUUUUUACACAAUUUAAAGAGAAAACUUUAAAAAAUCAGCUCUGUUUAAUAAUUUUAGGAAAUUAUCGAACUAUGUAGAGCCUUUGUAAAAUAAUAAAAAAUCUAAAAUACAAUUUUAAACACAUUAAUUCAUAGUUUAGAAUUAGAUUUUCAUUUUUAAAUUACAAUAAAAUACUCAUCCCAGCAGCCGUAUCCAUUUUUAUUUUGAAAUCCGUCUUCAUAAAUACAAAAAGACAAAUAUAUUUUUAAACAGUUCAAACAAAAAUUAAAAUAAAAAUCUGGUCUUUGUCUGAUAAUUUGGUUAAAUUAUCUUAAUACUGAGAGUUUUUGUAAAAUAAAAAAAUCUAUAAAUACAAUUUUAAGCACAUUAGUUCAUAGUUUAAAAUUAGAUUUUAAGUUUUUUUUUUAACAAUAACACCUUCAGAUAUGAAUCCCAGCAGCCAUGUUGUGAAUGUCACUAAUAAUUCCCUUUAAUGCUUCUUUGCAUAUUAAAUUUUUUCUUUCAUUCUUUUCUACUCUUUCAGGGUACAGUUGAUCAGAUAAUGAACCUACUUUUAUACAGAAUAUUCUAUUUUAUUGAGCAGAACUAAGCAAAAACAUGUUAAAUAUGAAACCCAGAGUUCUGGCACUGACUCAAAAAGCCAUUUUGUCAUCAUUUUGGUUUCAAAGUUGAUAUUUUUCCAGUUUAAAAAACACAAAAUGAAAUAAAAUCUCAAUUUUUAUAAAACAUUUUCCAAAGAAACGUCCAUAAAUCAGAUUUUAUCGAUCAUCAACCAGUAGCAGAGGCUGUUUUUAGCCUGCCACUGUUGGUUUUAGGUCUGUUUUCUGUUUGUAUUAUGGGAUCUUAUUGGCUCGUACUCUUUUCUGUCUCACUCUGGUGGUUUUUCUCUGUUUUCUGUGGACAGGCGUCCAUCCUGUCCUUUAAUGUUCCUCCAGUCUGUGAUAGAAGAUGGAGCCUGUUGGUUUUUAACUCAAAUGACACUCAGGCCUCCACUCUCAGAUGUACAUAGUCUUUUUUUUUUUUUUUGCUUUAUGUGUUCAACAGAUAUCACCAUAAGCUGUUUUUGUUUUUUUCUUCCUGUCCUGGUAUGUUUCUGUGAAAUAAAUACUAUUUUAUCACAAACUUUACUUCCUCUUUCACAUCUUUCAGACUUUUUCCAACCAUUUGCAGCUUCUACCAACACAGCUGCCUCUGAUUUUUACUCCGCCAAGGAACGGCUGAGUUAUGUGAUGAUCGGCAUACAUUUGUGAAUUUGAUAAUCUGUGAAUCUGCCUGUCUGUCUGUCUG
ensembl:lncRNA